rnacentral:tRNA from 1 species
GGUGGCAGAGCUCAGUGGCAGAGCACUUGCCUAGCAUGUGCGUGGUCUGGGCUCGAUCCUCAGCACCA